CCUACGGGGGGCUGCAGUGAGGAAUAUUGGUCAAUGGACGAGAGUCUGAACCAGCCAAGUAGCGUGAAGGAUGACUGCCCUAUGGGUUGUAAACUUCUUUUAUAAAGGAAUAAAACGAGGCACGUGUGCCUUUUUGCAUGUACUUUAUGAAUAAGGGUCGGCUAACUCCGUGCCAGCAGCCGGGGUAAUACGGAGGAUCCGAGCGUUAUCCGGAUUGAUUGGGUUUAAAGGGAACGUAGAUGGGUUGUUAAGUCAGUUGUGAAAGUUUGCGGCUCAACCGUAAAAUUGCAAUUGAUACUGGCAGUCUUGAGUACAGUUGAGGUAGGCGGAAUUCGUGGUGUAGCGGUGAAAUGCUUAGAUAUCACGAAGAAUCCCGAAUGCGAAGGCAGCUUACUAAACUGUGACUGACAUUGAUGCUCGAAAGUGUGGGUAUCAAACAGGAUUAGAUACCCGGGUAGUC
rnacentral:rRNA from 1 species